UACGUAGGGCGCAAGCGUUGUCCGGAAUUAUUGGGCGUAAAGAGCUCGUAGGCGGUUUGUCGCGUCUGCUGUGAAAACUCAGGGCUUAACCCUGAGCUUGCAGUGGGUACGGGCAGACUAGAGUGCGGUAGGGGAGACUGGAAUUCCUGGUGUAGCGGUGAAAUGCGCAGAUAUCAGGAAGAACACCGGUGGCGAAGGCGGGUCUCUGGGCCGAUACUG
rnacentral:rRNA from 1 species